UGGAAGAGACAGGCAAGAUCUCCAAGAAGGAAAAAGAAAUGAAAACAGGAAAGUGCCGGGUCCUUGUUGCUGUUCCGAGGGUGGUGUUUCUCACAGAGCCUGCGGCAGCUGAUCUUCAAGAUGCUGCAGGAGAUCUGCAGCCUACAGGCAGUACCUCCUAGGCUACCUGCUGCUCGGGGGCUUCGUGGCCUUGGGUGUGUGCUCCAGGAACGGCCCAGUGGAGAACCAGCGCAGCAUCUGUCGCCUCUCCUGGGGCCUGCAGCUCCUGCUCACGGCUCAGGCAUCCAGCUCCAUUCUGUGUCCUUGCCCGUGCUGCUCACUGUCGCCUGCACCGAGAACAUGGAGCACGUGGCCUCUUGGGCUUCCGCUGCCCACAGGGGAGAACUCUCAGCGCCCCGGCUGGCUCCUGGUGCCCCUCUGGCUUUACAGAUGGGGAGAGGGGGGCACAGAAGCUGGGGGGUGUGUGGAAGCCGGGCGUGCUGGGGGGGAAGGGCAGAUACUGCUUGUGGAUUCAAGUCUGUUUCUGGUUUUAAU